rnacentral:lncRNA from 1 species
AAACCUAAGAGAAAGAAUUCCUCUUUUUGAAUGCAACAGAGCCAAAGGGAAGGUGCCCAUAUAUGAGGACAGUCGAAGUGAUGAAAAGAAAGAUAAAAUGAAGGAAGAGAGAGAAAGCAUGGGUCCCAUUAAAAAAAAAUGCAUACGGUUUUAGAGAAAAGACAGAGGAAGAGAGGGAAACAGAGGAGAAGAAGAAGACGAAGAACGCGAGAUGGGAAGGUCGGACAAGAAAAGCAGAUAGUGAAAAUGCAGAGAGUUUAUGGUGUUAUAUCAGCAUGUUUAUAGGGAAGCAAACUCAUAGCUUUAGCCAAAAGGGCGGUGUCUUUAUCUUCGUUUUUAGUCUCAG